rnacentral:rRNA from 1 species
AUGAACGCUGGCGGCGUGCCUAAUACAUGCAAGUCGAGCGAACAGACGAGGAGCUUGCUCCUCUGACGUUAGCGGCGGACGGGUGAGUAACACGUGGAUAACCUACCUAUAAGACUGGGAUAACUUCGGGAAACCGGAGCUAGUACCGGAUAAUAUAUUGAACCGCAUGGUUCAAUAGUGAAAGACGGUUUUGCUGUCACUUAUAGAUGGAUCCGCGCCGCAUUAGCUAGUUGGUAAGGUAACGGCUUACCAAGGCGACGAUGCGUAGCCGACCUGAGAGGGUGAUCGGCCACACUGGAACUGAGACACGGUCCAGACUCCUACGGGAGGCAGCAGUAGGGAAUCUUCCGCAAUGGGCGAAAGCCUGACGGAGCAACGCCGCGUGAGUGAUGAAGGUCUUCGGAUCGUAAAACUCUGUUAUUAGGGAAGAACAAAUGUGUAAGUAACUAUGCACGUCUUGACGGUACCUAAUUAGAAAGCCACGGCUAACUACGUG